rnacentral:rRNA from 1 species
UUAAGCGACUAAGCGUACACGGUGGAUGCCCUGGCAGUCAGAGGCGAUGAAGGACGUGCUAAUCUGCGAUAAGCGUCGGUAAGGUGAUAUGAACCGUUAUAACCGGCGAUUUCCGAAUGGGGAAACCCAGUGUGUUUCGACACACUAUCAUUAACUGAAUCCAUAGGUUAAUGAGGCGAACCGGGGGAACUGAAACAUCUAAGUACCCCGAGGAAAAGAAAUCAACCGAGAUUCCCCCAGUAGCGGCGAGCGAACGGGGAGCAGCCCAGAGCCUGAAUCAGUGUGUGUGUUAGUGGAAGCGUCUGGAAAGGCGCGCGAUACAGGGUGACAGCCCCGUACACAAAAAUGCACAUGCUGUGAGCUCGAUGAGUAGGGCGGGACACGUGGUAUCCUGUCUGAAUAUGGGGGGACCAUCCUCCAAGGCUAAAUACUCCUGACUGACCGAUAGUGAACCAGUACCGUGAGGGAAAGGCGAAAAGAACCCCGGCGAGGGGAGUGAAAAAGAACCUGAAACCGUGUACGUACAAGCAGUGGGAGCACGCUUAGGCGUGUGACUGCGUACCUUUUGUAUAAUGGGUCAGCGACUUAUAUUCUGUAGCAAGGUUAACCGAAUAGGGGAGCCGAAGGGAAACCGAGUCUUAACUGGGCGUUAAGUUGCAGGGUAUAGACCCGAAACCCGGUGAUCUAGCCAUGGGCAGGUUGAAGGUUGGGUAACACUAACUGGAGGACCGAACCGACUAAUGUUGAAAAAUUAGCGGAUGACUUGUGGCUGGGGGUGAAAGGCCAAUCAAACCGGGAGAUAGCUGGUUCUCCCCGAAAGCUAUUUAGGUAGCGCCUCGUGAAUUCAUCUCCGGGGGUAGAGCACUGUUUCGGCAAGGGGGUCAUCCCGACUUACCAACCCGAUGCAAACUGCGAAUACCGGAGAAUGUUAUCACGGGAGACACACGGCGGGUGCUAACGUCCGUCGUGAAGAGGGAAACAACCCAGACCGCCAGCUAAGGUCCCAAAGUCAUGGUUAAGUGGGAAACGAUGUGGGAAGGCCCAGACAGCCAGGAUGUUGGCUUAGAAGCAGCCAUCAUUUAAAGAAAGCGUAAUAGCUCACUGGUCGAGUCGGCCUGCGCGGAAGAUGUAACGGGGCUAAACCAUGCACCGAAGCUGCGGCAGCGACGCUUAUGCGUUGUUGGGUAGGGGAGCGUUCUGUAAGCCUGUGAAGGUGUGCUGUGAGGCAUGCUGGAGGUAUCAGAAGUGCGAAUGCUGACAUAAGUAACGAUAAAGCGGGUGAAAAGCCCGCUCGCCGGAAGACCAAGGGUUCCUGUCCAACGUUAAUCGGGGCAGGGUGAGUCGAUCCCUAAGGCGAGGCCGAAAGGCGUAGUCGAUGGGAAACAGGUUAAUAUUCCUGUACUUGGUGUUACUGCGAAGGGGGGACGGAGAAGGCUAUGUUGGCCGGGCGACGGUUGUCCCGGUUUAAGCGUGUAGGCUGAUUUUCCAGGCAAAUCCGGAAAAUCAAGGCUGAGGCGUGAUGACGAGGCACUACGGUGCUGAAGCAACAAAUGCCCUGCUUCCAGGAAAAGCCUCUAAGCAUCAGGUAACAUCAAAUCGUACCCCAAACCGACACAGGUGGUCAGGUAGAGAAUACCAAGGCGCUUGAGAGAACUCGGGUGAAGGAACUAGGCAAAAUGGUGCCGUAACUUCGGGAGAAGGCACGCUGAUAUGUAGGUGAAGUCCCUCGCGGAUGGAGCUGAAAUCAGUCGAAGAUACCAGCUGGCUGCAACUGUUUAUUAAAAACACAGCACUGUGCAAACACGAAAGUGGACGUAUACGGUGUGACGCCUGCCCGGUGCCGGAAGGUUAAUUGAUGGGGUUAGCCGCAAGGCGAAGCUCUUGAUCGAAGCCCCGGUAAACGGCGGCCGUAACUAUAACGGUCCUAAGGUAGCGAAAUUCCUUGUCGGGUAAGUUCCGACCUGCACGAAUGGCGUAAUGAUGGCCAGGCUGUCUCCACCCGAGACUCAGUGAAAUUGAACUCGCUGUGAAGAUGCAGUGUACCCGCGGCAAGACGGAAAGACCCCGUGAACCUUUACUAUAGCUUGACACUGAACAUUGAGCCUUGAUGUGUAGGAUAGGUGGGAGGCUUUGAAGUGUGGACGCCAGUCUGCAUGGAGCCGACCUUGAAAUACCACCCUUUAAUGUUUGAUGUUCUAACGUUGACCCGUAAUCCGGGUUGCGGACAGUGUCUGGUGGGUAGUUUGACUGGGGCGGUCUCCUCCUAAAGAGUAACGGAGGAGCACGAAGGUUGGCUAAUCCUGGUCGGACAUCAGGAGGUUAGUGCAAUGGCAUAAGCCAGCUUGACUGCGAGCGUGACGGCGCGAGCAGGUGCGAAAGCAGGUCAUAGUGAUCCGGUGGUUCUGAAUGGAAGGGCCAUCGCUCAACGGAUAAAAGGUACUCCGGGGAUAACAGGCUGAUACCGCCCAAGAGUUCAUAUCGACGGCGGUGUUUGGCACCUCGAUGUCGGCUCAUCACAUCCUGGGGCUGAAGUAGGUCCCAAGGGUAUGGCUGUUCGCCAUUUAAAGUGGUACGCGAGCUGGGUUUAGAACGUCGUGAGACAGUUCGGUCCCUAUCUGCCGUGGGCGCUGGAGAACUGAGGGGGGCUGCUCCUAGUACGAGAGGACCGGAGUGGACGCAUCACUGGUGUUCGGGUUGUCAUGCCAAUGGCACUGCCCGGUAGCUAAAUGCGGAAGAGAUAAGUGCUGAAAGCAUCUAAGCACGAAACUUGCCCCGAGAUGAGUUCUCCCUGACCCUUUAAGGGUCCUGAAGGAACGUUGAAGACGACGACGUUGAUAGGCCGGGUGUGUAAGCGCAGCGAUGCGUUGAGCUAACCGGUACUAAUGAACCGUGAGGCUUAACCUU